CUAUGAAUUGUUACAUUCUUCCUCACGGUUUUUGUGAUGAGUUACACCGUGUGCCCAAUUUUGAUGGGGUGAUACUAAGGAUAAGCGUACGUGCUAUACAUUUGCUUGCUUAGGAUGAGUUGUGUAAUCUAAAGAGCAGGGUGGUUUGGGGUUCAGACAUUAAUUUGUAUGCCUUUAAUCUUGCAUUGUUGGCUAAACAUGGAGAGACUCAUUCAAAAUUCGGGUUUCUUUGGUGAGUUGUUUGUAUAGAGCCAUGUAUUCCGCACUUUGUUAUUUUUGUCUGCGUUUUGCUUAUAAGCAGGAGAUGGAGAAGCGUUUGGUAACCCAGCUUCUUCCAAAAGCUGAUGCGGCUUCCGUCGAAAAGUAGAAGCGGCCUCACCCCUCCUUUUAGAAGCUAGAAGCCAGGAUAUCACUGUGGCGCUGGUGACCGUAGAUUAAUGAAGUUUCGAAAAUACCGGCCUCUAUCCUCCCUUGGUUGAAGCAAUUACUCAAUUGCCAUGAAACUCUUCCUUGUAUCUAGAGUUCUAGACGCUGCAUCAAUCUUUCUCCCUCUCAUCACAGACGCCGCAUCAAACACACCCUCCCUCUGACGCCGCCUUAGCCUCUCAUCACGAUUUUGGUUUGGGAGUCGAAGGCUCAAUCAAGGCUGCUUGGAAAUUUGAUUCAGUAGCAGAUUUACUGCAGAUGAUGGCUAUAGUUCAAACAAGCAAUUUAAUUGCAGUGUUCCUGUAGUCUGGUUUUGCUCUGACAUUUUGCCCAAGGCUCGCGGUUCUGCAUAAGUGCAUAGUAAUAUCACAGGCAUGAUUGGAUGGUAAUUGGAUCUGGAUGUAUAUGUAUUGAAGCAAAUCGAGAACUUGCAUGGUCUAGAGGAUUUAAAAUGAUUUGGGCCAUGAUGCUUUGAGUUCCACGGCCAUAUCAAAUGUUUGUAGGGGACAUGUAUUGUAUGCAGAUACAUUCUAUGCAAAACGAUAUGAAGACAUUCCAGUUUUGGGGCAAAGGCCAACAGAUGAAUGAACUAUGGACUCUUAUAACCAUCAUGUAGUUUUUGUAUGGAAGGAAAGUUGAAGUAUGCAAUUAUGCAUUAGUUGCUAGUGGGAAGGAUUUGGAAGAAACAGGGAGUGAGGAUGGUGGGCUUUUGGAUCUCAGUGAAGAUGAUUUUUUUCUAAGUGGAAGCUCUAGUGAUGAAGCAAAUGCAGAUGAUGAAUGGACAGAUAAGAGUACCAGGGAACAGGCUUCCAGUACUUCUAAGAAAGCAGCAUCUGGCAUGUCCAGUGAUGAGAGAAAUCAGAGACAGAUUUCAGCUAGAGUUUCAGCCUGCCCCUCAGCAUCAAGUAAUUCUCACUCAAGUUCAGUACCUGCUCAAUCAAGAUUCAGUCCUUCAUCAAGCAAAAGUUCUCCAAAACAUGCUGAAAUGUCUACAUCCAGCAAUACAUCAAGUAGCAGAAGUGAAAUGAAGCUAGAUGAUACUGAUUUCGCCAAUUUUAAGCUUUGUUUCCAAAGUGGGAACCAAUGUUGAUGGACUCGUGAUGAUCUUUUAUUUUAUAGUUUUUAGUUUUGAUCCUUGAUUUGAGCUUGAUGUAGAAGCACAAGUAUUCUGUGCUAGUUAUGUAUGGCAUCAAAUA